UAUUGUCUGGAAACUAGAAAAAUGUGUUUUUUGGCCCCAAAUUACUAAACGUUUAGGGCAAUUACCCCCAAACUCAAACCCAGCUUUCCCUUUGUGAUAUGGAACCUUGUAGUACAAUUUCAGAACGAUCCAUACACUUACACACAAGUUAUUGUCCUGAAACUAGAAAAAUGCUUGUUUUUGGCCCCUUUUUGGCCCCCAAUUCCUAAACGUUUCGGCAAUUGCCCCCAAACUCAAUUCCAGCUUUCCCUUUGUGAUAUGGAACCUUGUAGUACAAUUUCAGAAAGAUCCAUACACUUACACACAAGUAAUUGUCAUGAAACUAGAAAAAUGCUUGUUUUUUGCCCCAUUUUUUGCCCCUAAUUCCUAAAAUUUUGAGGCAAUUACCCCCAAAAUCAAUCCCAGCAUUCCCUUUGUGAUAUGGAACCUUGUGG